AGCCGAAACUGCCCCACGGGGCAGUCCGCAGGGGAUGACCGCCCUGCGCUGACGAUGGCAGGUUAUU
rnacentral:hammerhead_ribozyme from 1 species